rnacentral:tRNA from 1 species
GCCCAGCUAGCUAAGUUGGUAGACCAUGGGACUCUUAAACCCAGGGUUGUGGGUUUAUGCCCCACGUUGGGUG